rnacentral:rRNA from 1 species
UACAGAGGGGGCAAGCGUUGUUCGGAAUUACUGGGCGUAAAGGGCGCGUAGGCGGCCUGCUAAGUCGAACGUGAAAUCCCUGGGCUCAACCCAGGAACUGCGUCCGAUACUGGUUGGCUUGAAUCCGGGAGAGGGAUGUGGAAUUCCAGGUGUAGCGGUGAAAUGCGUAGAUAUCUGGAGGAACACCGGUGGCGAAGGCGACAUCCUGGACCGGUAUUGACGCUGAGGCGCGAAAGCCAGGGGACGCAAACGGG